rnacentral:rRNA from 1 species
CCUACGGGAGGCAGCAGUGGGGAAUAUUGGACAAUGGGCGCAAGCCUGAUCCAGCAAUACCGCGUGUGUGAAGAAGGCCUUAGGGUUGUAAAGCACUUUCAAUUGGGAGGAAAAAACGAUGGUUAAUACCCAUUGUCUUGACAUUACCUUUAGAAGAAGCACCGGCUAACUCCGUGCCAGCAGCCGCGGUAAU